AUCUAUGAUUGUCAAAGUAAAUGCCAUUUCGUUUGAAAGUUAAUUAUAAAAUUAUAUGAAAAAUAAUUAAAAGUACUUUCAUAACUCUAAUCUUGUUAAAAUACUUGAGGUGGAAUUGAAAUUACUUCAUCGAUAUUCUAACCUACAAAAAUGGACAAACUAGUUCUUUAAAACAAUAAUAAGUGCGUUUAAACAUCGAUUAGUUACAAUUUAAUGUAAAUAAUGCUUAUUCUUCUUGUAAAGUGAUAGGAUCGUAGAUAGUAGAUGGGUAAAAUGGCUUUGCAAUACCUCCAACAAGUUAAAAAAUCCAAAUUAAUUUUGUACAAACCGACAGUAAGCAUAAUACAUAUAAUAAGUGCCUCAAAUAUGGAACGAAUAACUGGUAAACACUUAAGCUAGUAAAUUGAAACAUAUCAAAUAUAAAGAGAAGCAUGAAAAAUUAUACUGGGAAAAUAUAGCACUGUCACCCAUUACACUUCUUCUACAAUGUAAUCUAUUAUACAAAAAGUUGCAGGUUUGGGUUCUAUUUCAUCUAAAACAGAUUCAUACAUUUGUCUCCUUAAUUACAUAGAAGUUCAUGUUUAACACCAGCAAUACAGUAUUUCUAACUGACUUAAAUUGUUUCAUUGAAGUUUGGACUUGUAAGAUACCCAACAAUAUUUGAAAUGUACGUGUUACAACUGUAAUAAGAGUAAAGGGUAUGUGAAGGUCUAUUGGUGGUGGAAAGCAAUCUUGGCCUAUAUGGUGCGUGCAAAAGAUUUCUAUAAACUGACAAAAGGAAUUCAGAUUUCGUCUGGAUACAACGUGAGGUGCAUACAUCUUAUACCGGACAUUUUAACAUGGGACGUUUAACGUUUUAGCGCCCAACGUCACAUAGCUCUAGUUUUAUUAUUCAACCUUUAAAUUUAAAUCUGUUUGUAUUUUUAAAUUCACUGGAUAUUUUAACAUGGGACUAUGUCUUUGUAUUUUCAAAAAAUAUUGCUUGCGUUAUUUAAAUUAAAAAUUAGUACUAGACUAAUAAUGUAAGGUACGUUUCAGCGCUCAACGUCACAUAGCUCUAGUUUUAUUGUUCAACCUUUAAAUUUAAAUCUGUUUGUAUUUUUGAAUUCACUGGAUAUUUUAACAUGGGACUAUGUCUUUGUAUUUUCAAAAAAUAUUGCUUGCGUUAUUUAAAUUAAAAAUUAGUACUAGACUAAUAAUGUAAGGUACGUUUCAGCGCUCAACGUCACAUAGCUCUAGUUUUAUUGUUCAACCUUUAAAUUUAAAUCUGUUUGUAUUUUUGAAUUCACUGGAUAUUUUAACAUGGGACUAUGUCUUUGUAUUUUCAAAAAAUAUUGCUUGCGUUAUUUAAAUUAAAAAUUAGUACUAGACUAAUAAUGUAAGGUACGUUUCAGCGCUCAACGUCACAUAGCUCUAGUUUUAUUGUUCAACCUUUAAAUUUAAAUCUGUUUGUAUUUUUGAAUUCACUGGAUAUUUUAACAUGGGACUAUGUCUUUGUAUUUUCAAAAAAUAUUGCUUGCGUUAUUUAAAUUAAAAAUUAGUACUAGACUAAUAAUGUAAGGUACGUUUCAGCGCUCAACGUCACAUAGCUCUAGUUUUAUUAUUUAAAGUCUAAAUGGAUGUCUACUUUCAUUUUUAAAUUCACUGGACAUUUUAACAUGGGACUAUGUCUUUGUAUUUUCAAACAAUAUUGCUUGCUUUACUUAAAUUAAAACUUAGUACUGGACCAAUAAUGUAAGGUACGUUUUAGCGCUCAACGUCACAUAGCUCUAGUUUUAUUAUUCAACCUUUAAAUUUAAAUCUGUUUGUAUUUUUGAGUUCACCGGACAUUUUAAC